AAGUCGUAACAAGGUUUCCGAUAGGUGAACCGUGCGGAAGAUCCAUUGAUUGAGAUGAGUCGGAAGGCCUAUUAGGUCACCCAAACGCUUGAAAUAUUAGCGGAAUGGGCAGUAAUACAAUCGGCAUGACCGUUUGAAUCCAAGGGCAGCUAUCACCCGUGUAUAUAUACUCUGUUGCUUUCCGGGCGUCAUACCCCCGGAGAGAACCCAACUCUUGAAUUUUUAUGGAACGUCUGAGUACUAUAUAAUAGUUAAAA
rnacentral:misc_RNA from 1 species